AGCAGCCGCGGUAAUUCCAGCUCCAAUAGCGUAUAUUAAAGUUGUUGCAGUUAAAAAGCUCGUAGUUGAAUUUCGGGAUUGACGUGACGGUCAUGCCUUAAGGGGUAUGAACUGUUACUGUUGAUUUCUCACCUUCUGGAGAAACUUGAUGUCCUUUAUUGGGUGUCUUGCGGAACCGGGACCUUUACCUUGAAAAAUUAGAGUGUUUAAAGCAGGCAUUUUUGCUCGAAUACAUUAGCAUGGAAUAAUAGAAUAGGACGGCAUGGUUCUAUUUUGUUGGUUUCUAGGAUCACCGUAAUGAUUAAUAGGGAUAGUUGGGGGCAUUAGUAUUCAAUUGUCAGAGGUGAAAUUCUUGGAUUUAUUGAAGACUAACUACUGCGAAAGCAUUUGCCAAGGAUGUUUUCAUUAAUCAAGAACGAAAGUUAGGGGAUCGAAGACGAUCAGAUACCGUCGUAGUCUUAACCAUAAACUAUGCCGACUAGGGAUCGGAUGAUGUUAAUUUUUAAUGUACUCAUUCGGC
rnacentral:rRNA from 1 species